AGAGUUUGAUCCUGGCUCAGGCAUAAAGCUGGCGGCGUGCCUAACACAUGCAAGUCGAACGAAGCACUUAUAACAGAUUCUUCGGGAUGAAGUUAUAUUUGACUGAGUGGCGGACGGGUGAGUAACGCGUGGGUAACCUGCCUCAUACAGGGGGAUAACAGUUAGAAAUGACUGCUAAUACCGCAUAAGCGCACAGUACCGCAUGGUACGGUGUGAAAAACUCCGGUGGUAUGAGAUGGACCCGCGUCUGAUUAGCUAGUUGGUGGGGUAACGGCCUACCAAGGCGACGAUCAGUAGCCGACCUGAGAGGGUGACCGGCCACAUUGGGACUGAGACACGGCCCAAACUCCUACGGGAGGCAGCAGUGGGGAAUAUUGCACAAUGGGGGAAACCCUGAUGCAGCGACGCCGCGUGAGCGAAGAAGUAUUUCGGUAUGUAAAGCUCUAUCAGCAGGGAAGAAAAUGACGGUACCUGACUAAGAAGCACCGGGCUAAAUACGUGCCAGCAGCCGCGGU
rnacentral:rRNA from 1 species